GGGUGUGGCAGUCGGUCCGCUCUUAAACAGAGUGUGCACUAGACUGCCGCGCCCUUCCUCGGGGAAAACACGUCUAACAUUUAGUUGUCGGGCGUGGGAUCCUCGUCAUUUACUGUGAGCAAAUUAGAGUGUUCAAAGCAGGCUUAGGCCGUUGAAUACAUUAGCAUGGAAUAAUAAGAUAAGACUUUGGUCUAUUUUGUUGGUUUGCUGAUCAAAGUA
rnacentral:rRNA from 1 species